rnacentral:rRNA from 1 species
CAAUAGCGUAUAUUAAAGUUGUUGCAGUUAAAAAGCUCGUAGUUGAAUUUUUGCUUGCCGCCGAUGUCGGAACUUCCGUACGUUCGGCGGCGUGCAUCCUUGGGUGGAACCUGUGUGGCAUUAGGUUGUCGUGCAGGGGAUGCUCAUCGUUUACUGUGAAAAAAUUAGAGUGUUCAAAGCAGGCUUACGCCGUUGAAUAUAUUAGCAUGGAAUAAUAAGAUAGGACCUUGGUACUAUUUUGUUGGUUUGCGCACCGAGGUAAUGAUUAACAGGGACAGUUGGGGGUAUUCGUAUUCCAUUGUCAGAGGUGAAAUUCUUGGAUUUCUGGAAGACGAACUACUGCGAAAGCAUUUACCAAGGAUGUUUUCGUUAA